CUUUUGAACUCGGUAAGAUAUUUUUCGGAAAAUGAUGCCUUCUUCUCCCCUUUCCCCUUUCCCUUCCCCUUCCCUUUUCCCUUCCCCUUGGAUUGCAAAUCAGUUUGGUCAAUGACCUCUUCCGGUUCCUCCUUAAUCCAGAUGGUUGAAGCCCAAGUGGAGCCGCCCUAUCCUCUAGAUUAUGAAGUAAGAGCUCUUCGUGAGAUAGCAACAGAACUUGGGAAGAAGGAUUGGAAUUACAAUGAAAACCCUUGCAACAAUAAGUCAAGUUGGUUUACUCCACCGCCGCCGCCAAAUGUGCCUGAGGCCAUUAACAACAGUACUGUCACCUGCAAUUGCUCCUUCCCCAAUGGUGAAUGUCAUAUUGAUGGCAUGCUCACACGGACCUCGACAAAAUGGGUCUACUGCAGUUUCACAAGACAUUAACAGUCUGAAACAUAUUGCAUUGAUGGAGGCCAAGAUGAAAAAACUCUCUGAUUUACUGAGUAAGACAAUUGAACAAACAAAAGAAAAUGUGGUAAAGAAGCUAGCAUUGACGUAUGAGGAAAUGGAACAAGAAUGUAAGGAGGUAAGUUAAUCCCUUGGCAUACUAAUUCAAGUGUAUCUAAUACUAGAACAAAAAAAAAAUGUUGGUUCCAAUUUACAUAUCAUGAAGAUGGUAGUUAUAUAAUUUUACAUUCAUGUGUUUUGCUGAGGGGAAAGACCUGGUUGUGUCUGUUAUGUCUGCAAUGGGGGAAGAGCAGAUCUGUGCUCUCAAAGACAUUGGUCCUAAGUAGUUUCAAAUUCAUUUAUUGCAAAUCUUAGAUGGAACCAUAAAAGACUUUGGUAGUACUAAAUGCGGUUUUGAUGUUUUGUUUUGGGUUUGGAUAGAAAAAAGAGAACAACAAUAUAACUAGUUUCUUGUUGUGCUAUGGAUUACUGUUUUGCUUUUCUUUUUCAAUAAUUUUUAUUAUCUCGUCUUUA